rnacentral:rRNA from 1 species
ACGGGAGGCAGCAGUGGGGAAUAUUGCACAAUGGGGGAAACCCUGAUGCAGCGACGCCGCGUGAGUGAAGAAGUAUUUCGGUACGUAAAGCUCUAUCAGCAAGGAAGAAAAUGACGGUACUUGACUAAGAAGCCCCGGCUAACUACGUGCCAGCAGCCGCGGUAAUACGUAGGGGGCAAGCGUUAUCCGGAUUUACUGGGUGUAAAGGGAGCGUAGACGGCAUAGCAAGUCUGAAGUGAAAUGCAUGGGCUCAACCCAUGAACUGCUUUGGAAACUGUUAAGCUAGAGUGCAGGAGAGGUAAGUGGAAUUCCUAGUGUAGCGGUGAAAUGCGUAGAUAUUAGGAGGAACACCAGAGGCGAAGGCGGCUUACUGGACUGUAACUGACGUUGAGGCUCGAAAGCGUGGGGAGCAAACAGGAUUAGAUACCCUGGUA